rnacentral:rRNA from 1 species
AGAACGAACGCUGGCGGCGUGGAUAAGACGUGCAAGUCGAACGAGAUCACUUUUUGUAGCAAUACAGAAAGUGAUUUAGUGGCGAACGGGUGCGUAACACGUGGGCAAUCUGCCGAAAAGUGGGGGAUAGCUCGCCGAAAGGCGAAUUAAUACCGCAUGUGGUGAGGGACGACAUCUUCCUGAAUCCAAAGCCGGGGCAACCCUGGCGCUUUUUUGAGGACGCCCGCGGCCUAUCAGCUAGUUGGUGAGGUAACGGCUCACCAGGCUAGUGACGGGUGCGUGGUCUGGAGAGGACGACCAGUCACGACUGGAACUGAGACCACGGUCCAGACCACCGUACGGUGGCAGCAGUCGAGUUAACUUUUCACGAAGUACGGGGAAACCCGUAGGAAGGACGACCGACCGG